rnacentral:tRNA from 1 species
UCCGAAUUGGUGUAGUGGCUAACAUUUGACGCUCUCAACGGGAAAUCGUGGUGAUCCGUCAAGCCCGGGGUUCGAUUCCCCGAUUCGGAG